CUAUAGGAAUGAGAGUACCAAUGCACCGGAUGUUGACAUCAGAGAAGUGUUAAUACAAGAUUGAGCCGCGCAGAAAAAGGUAUGGCUAAGGUGAUUGGCUGAAUUAAUUGCUGAAAUAAUGAUUAUUUCAAAGUAAAUUUAUCACUGUUUAAAAUGAAUGAUGGAUUGAAGAAGUACUGCAAAAAGUGAAGAAAUAAGAGGGGUUGAAAUAGGGGGUGGGUGUCAAUUUUGGGACUUGGAUUUAUUUGCUGCGGAUCGCUGUAAGUUGUAAACAAGCUCAAUUUUGACCUAUAAACGCCAUGGGACCCUAUGUAUUUCUAUUGAUUUUGUGUUAGUGCUUGGUAUGAACUUUCAAAUGUGACCAAGGAUAUGUCUGUAAGUAUAAUAGCAAACUAGCCAGGUGGGUUUAGGUUAACAUUGAGCCCUAUGGGAAAUGAAUUGGUACUCUUUUCCCUAUAGAGACCCUAUUUUUUAAAUGUUUUGUUGCUUAAAAAUUGAAAAAGGUUAAUUAUUUCAUAAUGAAAAGAGCAGAUAUAACAUUUUAAAACACUAGAAGUAAAAUUAAUACUGUAAGUGUAAAUUUGAGGGUGGGAGUGGCUGUCAUUUUCAAAAUAAGGGGGGGGGGGGGUACUGAAUGAGUGUAAAGGGUAAUAUAAGGGUGACCAGGCAAGAAUAAAAGCAAAAAAAUGUGGGGUUUUAUGGUAAAUUGGAUAAAAUAAUUGUUGAUCACCUGUGUUGCACUCCACUAUUUCAGUUCUUUGCUUGUAUAUUUAAUUUAAUUGUACAAGAUUUUUGAGAUAAAUCUUGACUGACCAGCUGUUCAAUAUAGAAUCUGGACCAAACUUAGGUUUAACUCAGACUUUUUUCUGAUAUUCUGUUAUUUUUGUGUGCUCCAUAUUACCAUUGACUUCUCAGAAGUGUCUAAAGUCUUUUUAAAUAGAUUAAAUGAUGCUAGCCAAUGCCAAUUUAAUUCGUCUGAGUUAUUUUUCAGCAGACCAUUUAUUGUACAUGGAUUGCGCAGCUUGAUCGAAAGAGUGAUUCGGAUCAAAUACUGCCUCCCAUACUUUUCAGCCAUCCUUGCAGAGGAGUUCCGCAGUCUUCUUUCAAGCCUGAAGUGGUCUCGUGCAAUGAGGUUGAUGUAAAAGAAGGUUUGCGUCACACACCCUGAGACUACAUCCACUGUCAACAGUGUCAGCAUCUGGAGGAUUUUCAUUUUUUUGCCUCCUCUGUCUUCGGAGAUGGUGGCACCAGGGCAGCGGAGUCAUUUUGUCCCUUUAUAACGCUGAUAGAGAGUCCGUAUCCAUCAGAUCCAUCAUGACAGAUAUUUUUCUUCAUGAUGCAGCAUUUGCCGAGGGAGAGAGCCUGAUACUCAGAUGAGCACAGUAUAAAUAUAAAUCAAAAUCCAGGACUCAAGUUUCAUACACAAUUAGAGCAGACCAUUUAUUGUACAUGGAUUGCGCAGCUUGAUCGAAAGAGUGAUUCGGAUCAAAUACUGCCUCCCAUACUUUUCAGCCAUCCUUGCAGAGGAGUUCCGCAGUCUUCUUUCAAGCCUGAAGUGGUCUCGUGCAAUGAGGUUGAUGUAAAAGAAGGUUUGCGUCACACACCCUGAGACUACAUCCACUGUCAACAGUGUCAGCAUCUGGAGGAUUUUCAUUUUUUUGCCUCCUCUGUCUUCGGAGAUGGUGGCACCAGGGCAGCGGAGUCAUUUUGUCCCUUUAUAACGCUGAUAGAGAGUCCGUAUCCAUCAGAUCCAUCAUGACAGAUAUUUUUCUUCAUGAUGCAGCAUUUGCCGAGGGAGAGAGCCUGAUACUCAGAUGAGCACAGUAUAAAUAUAAAUCAAAAUCCAGGACUCAAGUUUCAUACACAAUUAGAGGUAUGUAUAAGGUUCAUGAAAAACACAAAUUUGCCUAAUUCUGAGGUGAGUAAAAUUAUGAGUAUAGGAAUGAGAGUACCAAUGCACCGGAUGUUGACAUCAGAGAAGUGUUAAUACAAGAUUGAGCCGCGCAGAAAAAGGUAUGGCUAAGGUGAUUGGCUGAAUUAAUUGCUGAAAUAAUGAUUAUUUCAAAGUAAAUUUAUCACUGUUUAAAAUGAAUGAUGGAUUGAAGAAGUACUGCAAAAAGUGAAGAAAUAAGAGGGGUUGAAAUAGGGGGUGGGUGUCAAUUUUGGGACUUGGAUUUAUUUGCUGCGGAUCGCUGUAAGUUGUAAACAAGCUCAAUUUUGACCUAUAAACGCCAUGGGACCCUAUGUAUUUCUAUUGAUUUUGUGUUAGUGCUUGGUAUGAACUUUCAAAUG